rnacentral:rRNA from 1 species
UACGUAGGGUGCGAGCGUUUGUCCGGAAUUAUUGGGCGUAAAGGGCUCGUAGGCGGUUUGUCGCGUCGGGAGUGAAAACACCGGGCUUAACUCGGUGCUUGCUUUCGAUACGGGCAGACUAGAGGUAUGCAGGGGAGAACGGAAUUCCUGGUGUAGCGGUGAAAUGCGCAGAUAUCAGGAGGAACACCGGUGGCGAAGGCGGCUCUCUAGUACGGUACUGACGCUGAGACGCGAAAGCGUGGGGAGCGAACAGG